rnacentral:rRNA from 1 species
CGAAGCAACGCGAAGAACCUUACCAAGGCUUGACAUCCAGUGCAAAGCUGUAGAAAUACAGUGGAGGUUAACAUUGUAGACAGGUGUGCAUGGUUGUCGUCAGCUCGUGCCGUGAGGUGUUUGGUUAAGUCCAGUAACGAGCGCAACCCUUGCCGUUAGUUACUCCAUUAAGUUGAGAUACUCUAACGGGACUGCUAGUGUAAGCUAGAGGAAGGUGGGGAUGACGUCAAAUCAGCAUGCCCCUUAUGUCUUGGGCUACACACGUGCUACAAUGGUCGGUACAAAAAGUUGCGAUCUCGUAAGAGGGAGCUAAUCUGAAAAAGCCGAUCUCAGUUCGGAUUGAGGCUGCAACUCGCCCUCAUGAAGCCGGAAUCGCUAGUAAUCGCGAAUCAGCAAUGUCGCGGUGAAUACGUUCUCGGGUCUUGUACACACCGCCCGUCACACCAUGAGAGUUGAUAAUACCAGAAGUCGGUAUUCUAACCGCAAGGAGGAAGC